AGGAUUGCAAGACACUGUACAUCACCAUCAUGAAGAAACACGUCUGCGGGAUUACCUUGUUAAGGACUCAGGUGGGGCACCUCCUCUGCAGAUCUGGCUACACUUGAGGAGCAGCAGGUCCUCGACAACAUCAGGGAGCCGUGGCCGUAUAGCAGAGCGGCGAGGAGGCAGAGCUACGGGGCGCCUUGAGAGAGCCCAGGAAAUGUUCGUCAGACACCGUAGAAGGCUUGAGUGACUGGAGGAGAAAGCGUGUGGAAUGUCCGCUGCUGUAACACUCAGUGCUCAUAAGUUCAUCCUUCCUUGUUCUUAAGCGAAAAGAACGGAAAGCACAGUCACAAAUGUAUUAUGUUAUCUCAGCUGAUGUUUAUAGUUAUCCCAGCAGAUGUUCAUUGUUAUCUCAGCAGAUGUUUAUAGUUAUCCCAGCAGAUCUUCAUUGUUAUAUUAGCAGAUGUUUAUAGUUAUCCCUCUCACUCCUAGGGGGCCUUGUCUCAGCCCCCUCAGCCGUGUAGGACUGCUUAUAGUGAUGCAAGAGUUUCAUACCGAGGUAACCAAUUAUGGAGAUGAAG